GGCCGGUUAGCUCAGUUGGCUAGAGCGUCGUGCUAAUAACGCGAAUGUCGUGGGUUCGAUCCCCGUACAGGACA
rfam:Ciona savignyi cont_32197, whole genome shotgun sequence.